AUGUGCUGUUGAGGCUGGACUGGCCAAUAAUUUUCUCACCCCAAACCUCAUUAAUGAGAUGGUGCGUGAUGUAUGCACUAGUGUGCAAAACUUUACACGAAGCCCUAACAUCAGGGAAGAGAAGCUGUGGCUAAGUUAGAAACUAUUGUAGAAACCUAUCCUUUUUUGAAAGCCCCUCAACUCAGCAAAGAUGCCAAGCCUUGGGGGGCCUUUGAAGUAAAGAUCAUGAAUCGGUUUAAAAAGCUUCAGCUCAAAAGAACCAACCAAGACACAGAACGUA